UUUUUUUUUUUUUUUUUUUUUUUUGUCUGCCAUGCUUUUUCAGACUUGAAGUUGUUAGUAGCAGUUUUAUGGCUCUGAUGCCAGGGUCCAGGCACUGAAAGAAUUUGAGACUGAAAACUGGAUCAAACCAUACCACAAAUGGGGUGACCAGGAGCCUUAGAACCUUAUACUCAAAUACAGACUUGCUUGUUUGUACUGCAAUGCAAAAACAAGAUUUAUCUUGAAAUCUGGUGUUCUUGUGUGUAUAGAGAGGAAGAGGAGAAGGAUCAGAUGUAAAUUGUUAAAGGUCCAAUGUUUUUUAGAACAGAAAAAAAGAGUAUUUUCACUAGUUUCCUCUGUCCCCUCAUUUACUUAACAAGGUUGCAGGACCUGUGACAUUGGUGAGUUGACAAUGUUCUGUAGAAGGUUUAAAAAUGAGAAGCAGGGUGGAAAGCAGAAUAUGCAGAUCUAUUUGUCCAUUCCAGAGGUAACUCAGUAACAUCAGAUUCUGUGCAAACAAACAGUAGGUUUCAAUUAUCUGCUGCUAAUUAUCACCCAAAUUUGAUUUGCACUCUCUUCAAAGGAACUCAUAUCUUUACAUUUAGUUAUUUGUUUCAGUGCAAUGAGUGAGUAAUUCAAACCAAACAUGGGUGAAUUUCCUACUGGAAAAAAAAAUAAAGCAAGGAAUCCACAAUCAUAUCAGUUUAAUUUUAGUGUAACGUAUGUGGUGAUUCACAGCCUCAGUGGGGAGGUGAAUUUGUGUCAAUCUGUGAAUUGGCUUUGCCUGUUUGGCAACUCUGUAAAGGGCUUGGUCAGUUGUAGAUGGUCUUAAAUAAUUGUGUCAAACGGGGUGGUUCUGGUGGGCUCUGAGUAAUGAGAGGAGGUUUUAACAUUUUACAGAUGUAACCAAAUCUCAUUGUGAAGACUUUUCCCUCUACAUAUUAUUUCUCUUACACAGCAUUGAGCCAGUUGGUCUUUCACAGAGACUUUUUUUGUACUGCAGUAAUUAUCCUUUUAAUCUUUAUAGGCAGACUGUAUUUAUUCCUCUGUCUGUAGUGAUGCAGCCAACGGUCUCUGAGGGCAUUGAAACAAUAGUCUCAUCCCUUUCCUACACUAAAAGCACUGAAAACUAUAAGCCUAAGGAAGAAAUGAGGCAAUUUAAAACUGAUGGUAUGAUUGACUAAGACAUCAAGCAGUGCUGUGGAAAUCCUGCAGUUCUCUAUCACAUGGGCACUGUCCUGGGAAACAUGCUCCAGGAGACCCUGCUUGAGCAGGGGCCUUAGACAAGGUGACCUCCAGUCAUCUUAUUCAUCCUUGACAACUCUGUACUAAUAAUAUUCAGUUAGCAUUGUGGAGAAAGGUUAUUUAAGAGUGUAGCACUGGCUGCAGUUUUCAAUUGAACUUUAUGGGAUCACACAGGUGAUGGUGUGUAUUGAAAAAUGCAUUACAUUUUACUUUUUAUGACCUAGAAAGAGAAUUUACUGUGAGAAAGAUGUUAAAAGAUUGUUACCAGUCAAAUGGGUAGUAUUUUACAGAAAAUAACUGUCAGAAAAGUAGGCAUCAUCUUCGGCAGAGCUGUCUUGUGAAUGAACAUUCACCAAAUGCCAGCAGCUACUGGUGCUCUGCUGGGGAAUCUCCUACAUGCUGCAGCUGUAACUCCAGGCAGUCAUUCAUAAUAUGUUCACUGAAUGCAGUGAAUGCUCUUCAUUUUAACAUGUCUCUUUUCACCAUUAAAAAUAUUCUAUGUCCAUCUUCAUCCACAAUCUCUUUUACCUGGUCUGUUACCCACUGCUGCAGUAGCUGCCAGCUCCCCCCGGCAGUCUUGAUCUCUUCCUUCAGCUCGUGGUGAAAGCAGAGCUGGCAGCUGCUCUCUGAGCACAGCCAGCAAACUUAGUCCUUGUUCAGACACUCGAGCCUCUGCUUUUUCUGUCCCUUGAAAUCUGUCCCUUGUGGUAAAAACAUCAUUACAUAUUUAGUGCCUUUGUGGUGUCAUGGAUGCAGCCAGGGGCAAUCUGCCAUGCAGCUGGCCAGGCCCAGAACAGCCCCAGCAGGGAAAGGGGGAAAUCCAGAUGGGAACUGCUGCCUAUAGAGGUGGCAGCGAAAGUGUUGCUAACCCUGGUAAUUGGUAACAGCCACAACAGGGGCAGGGAGUUUGGGUACGUGUACUUGCUAAAAAUUGUAUUCAGGAUUGUGCACUCCUAUUUCCUCUCCUGCAUGUGGGAAUGGAUAGACCCUCCAGGAUAGGGUUCUCACAAACCAGGGACAUGCAGCACUGGCUGGGUGUGGAUGUCAGAGCCUAACCCAGGGCUCUGACCUCCUUUGCCCUCAGCCAGGUGAGUGGGUUUAGGCUGAAUUCACUGGUAUCCCUGCAUAAAGAGCUUUUAGGGUUUGUUUUGUUGAGGUUUUUUCAACUUUCCUUUUUUUUCCCCAGGAGAAGGAAGAUGGAAUGGAAGGCUAGUAAACACUAAAAUCUGUGUAAAAGCUGAAAUUUGCCCUGCAGAGCGUUUUUAUUCUGCAUUUUGACUACCUUUCAGAAAGAAUAGUAUGUAUCAAUUCUGUAGGCAGACAGACACAAUAGCACUGCAAAGUGUGAAUUUCUUCCAGCUGUCUUAAUGGAGUGUUGAUUUUAAAACCUAAUUUCUCUGCUGCUUGCUAUGCAAUUAGCACACAGUGAAUACACUGGGUUAGUUCAGCUGUGUGGUCCUGUACUUUGUGUUGGGGUAGGUGUCAUUAUGGAUACUUCAAUCAAAACAUCUUUGUAAGGUAAGAGAGCAGUCAAAUAGCAAAAAAAAUUUGAGGCAAUGAAAGCAAGAAUAUGCCAGGAAAACAGGUGAUAUUUAUAUUCUAUCAAAAUAUAUUUGAAUGAAGUAUUAAUUACUCUUAUACAAAAAUAAAAAAAAAACAAAACAAAAAACCCACAAAAAAGUCCCAUCAAUCCCCCCUAAGCACCACCCCCAAAACAACCCAAACAAACCAAAACCUAGCAGAAAUAGGGUUGAGAUACAGGAAAUUUUAAAUCCACAAAAGCAUUUUUUAAAGGUAUCAAGUAAAGUAGAAUCUAACAAAUGGCUUGAUCAGAAGGUGAAUCUGAUAUUGUCAUGUAAACUUGAAAUAAAGGAGAAUAAGACAGCUGAUGAAACAAAGAUAAGCACCAAUGAAAUAAAAACCACUUUUAUUAAGAAUAUAACAGUUCCAGAAUAGUAGUAACAGAGUUAUUGUCUAGUGUAGUAACAAUAUUUACUGGUACAAACUUUGGAGCGCAGUGAAAUGAAGAAACUCACCCUGAGGAGAUUCUCCCCACUUUCUAGUGAUGAAGUAAUUCAUAAAUGUUACAACUUUCCAAGUAGCUUAAGAUCUGAUCAUUCCUUCUCAGUAGUGAUCUCUAUGUUGCUUCUCUGAAUCUCUUGUUUAUUUAAUGAUGUUGUUCACUAAUAAGAAAAAAGGAAGCUUUUAAGCACUUAUAAUAGAUCAGACGUAACAGAAAACUAUUUCCAAAAAUUCUGGAGCGCUCUGGACCGGGGUAAGGAUAUUUUUUUUUUUUUUUUUUUUUUUUUUUUUAAAUAUCGUGUAUUUUGCCGAUCAUUCUCAGGAUUCUCCACGAGGUGGAGGAAGCAGCUCGUGCCUCGGGCUGCCGCUGCCCUCCUGCCCACCGCCAGCCCCGCUCCGUGCGCGGGGGAUGCGCGGAAGGGCUCGGGAGCCUUCCUCGCUGCUUUGCUCCUUAUAAAAAUGACAACGGCGAUUAUUUCAGUAUUGCGAUUCAUCAGUCUUGAAAGGCUGUACGGAAUCACAGAACGUGCUGAGUUGGAAGGGACCCGCAGAGAUCUGUGAAAUCCAGCUUUGGUCCUGCACAGAUGUGCCUGAGAGCCCUGUUCGAGCAUGGAGGGUGCUGAGUGACUGUGAUGGGAGAAGCCUGGUCCCACAGAUGUGUGCUGCCUAUUGUCAUACAUACAGCCAGGGCUGGUGGAUAAACCUGCUUCUCUAAGAAUUGCUGUGCUGCACCGUGUCCAGUCCUACAGGGCUAUUUCACUGCAAAGUUCUUUAUGGAUACAGUACAAGUAGGGAAAAUAACAGCUGGUGUCUGUAAUUAAAAAUGUUGUAAUUUCUACUAGAUAUCUGCUAAGUUGUGAGCAGUGUUUCAGGUUUUCUUUUGACUGUGGUGAGAUUUGGAAAGACUUACCUUGCACAGUUAUCCCUAAACUUGUCUGUUGCAGAGUGCUGUAUUUUCAGUCUUUUCAGCUCCUAAAAAUCAAACUCCCUUCAAUUUGUAAUUUCCUUUCCUUGUCUGAAGCCCUCACCCAACUGAUUUUCAUUUUUGCCUGUGAUGAAGCAUGUCAACCCCAAAAUAGAAAAUACUAGUUUUAAAAUUCGAUUCAGUGGAUUUCUGUUGAAAAAAAAAAUCUGUUAAUUGUCUUAUGUGAAUGACACAAUAAUGCUUAUGUUUUACCUGAUCAUUUUAUGGAAGAUCACUUGACUUACUUUUCAAGUCAUUAAAAUGUAUUUGCAGCUGUGCUAAGGUUGUUUCAGCAUUUCAGGCCUAACUCAGUUGUAACCAGAUAAAAAGUCACUGGAAAGGGAUGUUAUCAAGGUCAUUUGCAUUUAGUCUGCACAAGAGCAGAACUGCAGACUGAAAUAGUGAAUUGCUGGGAAAGAAGGCUGGAAAGGGGUGUCCAGGAGCCGUUUCAUCCUCCAUACCUGGUCCCCUGAGCCUAUCCUGUUCUUGGCAGAAGCCUGUUGAAGAAUGCUCUUGUGAACUUGCACAAAAGGUCCUUUUGUUUUCUUUUAGCCCAAACAUUUUCUACCAGCUGCUUGCCUCUGUGUUCCCACAAGCCUUGUGUUGCCAUAAAUGAAGCAUCUGAGAGCUGCAGUAUGAGGUUAGAAAAAACUGGGAUGUCAGGAAGGUGUGGACUUCAUAAAUAGUGUUGUAUCAGGGAAAAUAUCCGGGAAGACGUUAUUAAAUGUAGGAAGGAGUGUAUUCUACUAUGUCCCAAAGCUUCUGUUUUCCAGGGGGAAGGGCAAAUAGAUAGUUGGUUUAGUUGAUGCUUGUUUUUUUUUUUUCUUUCCUUUUUCCUUUACUGGUCUUAUUUGUGCUACUUUCAUAAAAGAAAAUACAGGGGUUUUUUUUUGGGUUUUUUUUUUUUUUUUGGCCAAAAUACAUGGGGCCUUCUUCCAGCAUAGCCUUGCCAGUUAAAGCAAUAAUUUCUUCUUGCUUCUGACUGAUGCACCUGAUAGUAACUCAUCUAUCUCACAGGCAGGACUUUGAAAUUUCUAACAAAUUUGGAUAUGUGGUCUGUACUUCAGGUGAAGUUUGGUCUCUCCUUCUUUAUAUAAGUUACCUUGUGCCAAGCUAAAUAAUCUUAACAUAAACUUCUGAAAAAGAUUGACAGGAUCAAACUUUGCCAGCUUCUGUGACAGCUAAAAGAACGUGUUUUGUUACUGAAGAGUCAAUUUAUUUAGAGGCAAUAUGUUAGUGUGGUAAAGCAGUCAGAUGACCAGGCCCCAAUUGCUCUUGAGAGACUUAAAAUUCAGGUGACCAUACUUAUGAUUAAUAGUAUCUUAUCUUUAAUAGAAAUAAUUCUGCUUUGGUAAUCUGGAAAUUUAAUGGUAAUAUGCUUUCUCUGGGUGGAGGGGUAAGUGUAUGGGAGCGCUCUCUAAAUUACUUGAAGGAAACCCACAUUAAUUCUGAAGUACGUAAACUUGGCCAGACAUAGCUGAUCUCUGGAGCUGUGCUAAAUUAUGUGAGCUAUCUGUCCCCAGGGAGGCAAAACUUAUCUCCUGAGUCCUGAAAACACGUUGGCUUUGCUAUUUUAUUUUUGAUACAGGACUCAUGUUGGGCAAUACCUCUAUGGGAAGCAGGGUGGGAGAGCAAUCUCCUUAAAGCUUCACUCUUAAGGUGAAGAGUUUUCUCUCUGAGUGAUGUGGAGAGGGGCUGCCUAAAGUUCUCUAACAACAGCAGAUUUAGAGUAAAACCCAGUGAAAGCUGUGUGGCUUCCUUACAGGGUCAGGCUGGAGCAAAGACCAACCCAAGGGGCUCUCUCUGGCCAGGGAUGUCCCCUUGCUGAUCCAUGCUCAGGGCUGGAAGCAGCAGAAAAGCCUCUCCAGAGGUGCCCUUGGUGCUUCCUGAAAUGACCCAGCUGCCUGAAAGGGAUGCUGCUCUUGCUCCCGUGUUGGGGGACCUGCAUGGGAGAGGGGUUCCCUUCUCCGCCCACUCAUGGCUACCCCCCCACCCCUGUUGUCAUGGAAAAUUGCUAUAAAAUGGGGCAAUAAAAAUCUGUAGGAAUCAAAUUUUACUGUCAGAGGUCUUACCUCCAGCAGAUGCAAGUGAGUGUGGAAUGAACACUGUCUCUUCCUUUUGGAAUGAAGGCUUUAGUAGCUCAAACUGGGACCAGUUUCCUCUGUCUUGAGGAUUGAAGUUUUUUUUUUUUUUUUUUCCUGUAGAAUUCAUUAUUCUGAUAGCUAUUUCCCUUUAUCACAAAAUUCCUAUAAUUUAUAAUAUUUUAAAAAUCUUUAUCCUCCUCCUCCUUCUAUUCAGUGGUAGCUCAGGCUAACUGGGAAAAAAAAAAAAACAAACCAACAAAACCCCAAUCUAUAAAACAUGUGGUGAAGUGAAAAAUACACCAAAAUUUCACUUCAAUGCUCUGGCCAAAUCUAUCUUAUGGGAGUUGCUACUCUAGCCUGCUCUGUGCUGGAGAGACAUUUUUCUCUUCUUCACUUGUGCUGCAAAACUGUGCUUCCUCUUACACUGAGGCCAAGCACAUCCUGAGAAAAAACUGCUUGGUUUGCCAAACAUGCAGCUGAUGACACGUAUAUUUAUGCUCCCUGGCAAACUAAGUUAAACAAACAGGGAGUAAGUUGGGAAGACAUUAUAGGAGGUAAUACUUCAUUAUAACUCAGCUAUGAGCUGCUUACUCUUCUUCCCAAUUAUGGCAUCCCCAUGCAUCGCUUUCCCGAGAGGAGGAGUAUUCUGGGGAAAAACAAAUUACAGCAUAUAAAACCUUGGAAGCACAGUAACUGUACAGGAAGGGACAGUAGCUGGAGUGAGGGGUCUGAGCACAUGUAAUUUUGUCUCAUUUUGUUCAAAACAUGGUUGUUUCUACCUCAGACAUAAAACUGUUAAAUUAACUCCUGCAAACUCAGUUGCUCGGUUCACAGUGUGCCUGAAUUCAAGCCGUGUUUCAGUAACAUCAGGUUCUGUGCAAAUAAACAGUAGGUUUCAAUUGUCUGCUGCCAAUUAUCACCUAAAUUUGAUUUGCACGCUCUUCAAAGGGACUCAUAUCUUUCCAUUUAGUUAUUUGUUUCAGUGCGAUGAAUCUUUAAUUCAAACCAAACGUGGGUCAAUUUCCAACUGGAAAAAAAAAAUGCAAGGAAUGUGUUUAUCCGUGGUCAUAUCAGUGUCUCUCUUUAGUUUAAUAUAUGUGGUGAUUCAUGGCCUCAGUGGGGAGGUGAAUUUGUGUCAAUCCGUGAAUUGGCUUUGCCUGUUUGGCAAGUUUGUAAAGUCAGUUGUAGAAGGUCUUAAAUAAUUGUUCCUAAUGGGAUGGUUCUGGUGGGCUUUAGAAUAAGGAGUGCAAGUCCUGAAGUUACACAGGCAUAGAAAAAUCUUGUUAGACUUCAAUUCCCAUCCUACCUAUAAAAAACUGUCUGUGUUUAAAUGGAGAGAUAGGGUAAUGGGAUCUAGACUCUUUCCUACUGCUUUGAAUCUCAACUUAAAAAGGUGUGUGUUAUGUUUUACACAGACUCCUUGGUUGUCACCAUGACCCUCUGGCUUGUACACAAUCAGAAAAUUUCAGUCACAGAAUUGAAGAAUUUCUGGACUUUUUUUUUUAAAUAAACAGAAAGCACUAAAUGCAAGCAAGAGGGCUACAGCAACAAGAAAAUUUCAUUGUAAUAAAUACCACAUGUGAUCACGAUUUACGAAGCAGACAAUAAAGAGUAAUUUAAAAAGA
ensembl:lncRNA